CAGACCCGAUCGGGAGAGACUGUCGCAACUGGCAGCGCCGAAGGAGCAACCGCCCCGGAAACUCUCAGGCAAAAGGACCGAUCAGGUGAU
rnacentral:ncRNA from 2 species